CUGAGUUGGGGCUGGGGCAGUAGUCUCUAAACUUGUGCCUGUGUAUGCUCCUGGACUAUGCAGUGCUGAGGCAGGAAAAGGAAGAAGGGGAGGAGGAGACCUUGACUGCCACAGCAUACCAGAGUCCGUCACUUCACAGUCUCACACGGAAACCAGAUGGAGACAUUUAUACCCAUCGACCUGACAGUUCAGAAGCCGAAUGUGAACAGAAAGGAUCACAAGUCAAGAAGAAGGUAAAAAUAAAUAUGAAAAAAUGAGGGUUUUUCCCCCAUAGUAAAAUUUCGACAAUAUAUAGCUUCCGGAAUUCCAUGGUGGGGCUGUAGCUCGGUUAAUGGAGCGCUUGCAUCCCGUGCAUGAAACCCUGGG
rnacentral:lncRNA from 1 species